rnacentral:rRNA from 1 species
GGUGAACGCUGGCGGCGUGCUUAAGACAUGCAAGUCGAACGGCAGUCUUCGGACUGUAGUGGCGCACGGGUGAGUAACGCGUAACUGACCUACCCCAAAGUCGCGGAUAACGAUUCGAAAGAAUCGCUAAUACGUGAUGUGCUGUCAGAUUGUGUUCUGCCAGUAAAGCUUGAUUUCUUUGGGAUGGGGUUGCGUUCCAUCAGCUAGUUGGUGGGGUAGAGGCCGACCAAGGCGACGACGGAUCGCCGGGCGGAGAGGGUGGCCGGCCACAGGGGCACUGAGACACGGGUCCCACUCCUACGGGAGGCAGCAGUUAGGAAUCUUCCACAAUGGGCGAAAGCCUGAUGGAGCGACGCCGCGUGAGGGAUGAAGGUCUUCGGAUCGUAAACCUCUGAAUCAGGGACGAAAGACACUUCGGUGGGAUGACGGUACCUGAGUAAUAGCACCGGCUAACUCCGUGCCAGCAGCCGCCGUAACAC